ACGGGUGAGUAACACGUAUGCAAUCCACCUGUAACAGGGGGAUAACCCGGAGAAGUCCGGACUAAUACCCCAUAAUAUGGGCGCUCCGCAUGGAGAGUCCAUUAAAGAGAGCAAUCUUGGUUACAGACGAGCAUGCGCUCCAUUAGCCAGUUGGCGGGGUAACGGCCCACCAAGGCGACGAUGGAUAGGGGUUCUGAGAGGAAGGUCCCCCACAUUGGAACUGAGACACGGUCCAA
rnacentral:rRNA from 1 species